rfam:Gossypium raimondii Chr07_contig_811, whole genome shotgun sequence.
AAUCCAUGGUGCGAGCAUUUUUGAAUUAACAUUUUAAAAUGUUCCCUUGCCUCAUAGAAACUUCUCCCUCCAUCUAUCUAAAAAUAGCAAUCUCUCUUCUUAGUUG